GGAUGCGAUCAUACCAGCACUAAAGCACCGGAUCCCAUCAGAACUCCGAAGUUAAGCGUGCUUGGGCGAGAGUAGUACAAGGAUGGGUGACGUUCCGGGAAGUCCUCGUGUUGCAUUCC
rnacentral:rRNA from 1 species